CUCAUCCAAGCCACUCUUUUUGGGUUUCUAUUGUGUUGUAGGUUUUGUGUUAGGUGCUGAGGACACAGUAACAAUCAGAUCGAUCCAGACCACACUGUGCUCUCAUUCCAGCUGACAAAAUUGUCAAAAAAGAAAAAUGCAAUAAGUGCUACAACAGAGAUCUAGACAAAGUGUAGCAGGGCCACUUGGUGGGACCCUGCUUUGUCCCACACACAGAAUUUCUUGGAAUUUAGUCACGUGGACCUUCUUUUUUCUUCUAAAUCUCAACCAUAUUAUCUAUCUGGCUGUGCAAGGAAGAUCAAUAAGGAGGAGCUCUAACAAUUUCCAUUGGUUUUCUGCAAUCCAAACCGAGAUGAUCCAGGCUUAAACAAGAC
rnacentral:lncRNA from 1 species